AUUGAACGCUGGCGGCAGGCUUAACACAUGCAAGUCGAGCGGAGAGAGGUAGCUUGCUACUGAUCUUAGCGGCGGACGGGUGAGUAAUGCUUAGGAAUCUGCCUAUUAGUGGGGGACAACAUCUCGAAAGGAAUGCUAAUACCGCAUACGUCCUACGGGAGAAAGCAGGGGAUCUUCGGACCUUGCGCUAAUAGAUGAGCCUAAGUCGGAUUAGCUAGUUGGUGGGGUAAAGGCCUACCAAGGCGACGAUCUGUAGCGGGUCUGAGAGGAUGAUCCGCCACACUGGGACUGAGACACGGCCCAGACUCCUACGGGAGGCAGCAGUGGGGAAUAUUGGACAAUGGGCGCAAGCCUGAUCCAGCCAUGCCGCGUGUGUGAAGAAGGCCUUCGGGUUGUAAAGCACUUUCAGUAGGGAGGAAGCGUUGUGUGUUAAUAGUACACAGCGUUGACGUUACCUACAGAAGAAGCACCGGCUAACUCUGUGCCAGCAGCCGCUGUAACAC
rnacentral:rRNA from 1 species